CCCAGACAUUUUGCUCCCUGAAGCAAAAGAUAAGAUGGUACUUCUUCCAUUCUGUGCAGAAAAAUGAGAGCAGAGUCCUUCAGUCAUCAUGUUGCAAUCUCUAGCAGAGCGAACUAGCUUACUUACUCAGCAACACUGACAAGGGAGUAAGAUCCUCCAUGGUACCUGGGAGAAGAAAGUUGGAGAUGAGACAAUCUACGUCGUAUGUGGUUCAUAUGCCUCUGUUUUUUCCGAGAGACAGAGAAGGCCAGACGGCUCAGAAGCUGCCAGAGAAUAACCACUGCUGCUCCCUUCCACCUGCCACUUGGAACAGUUGCCUCACUCUUCCUAAUGGUAGGGCCAGCUAAAUAUUAACUGUGUGCUGAAUGAGUCCCAUCCUCCCAGGCCAUUUGUGAAAUGCACUUUUCAACUCUAGCAUCAGCUGCCUUGGUCUUGUUUGAAACAAAGCAUACUAGAAGAAGACAAUGUUGACAGCAUUUGAUUUUAUGAGAGUUGGUAGGCUGGGAAGUACUAAACUCCCUGGGGAUGAUAAAGAGAAGAGGCAGAGAAACGGAUGCUUUCAGAUCCUGGGACAUCAUCAAAACCAGUUUGGACGUAGACAGCAGCUGGGUGGAGCAAAGAACCGAGCAAAAGAGAUGACUCGUAGACAGCAGCUGGGUGGAGCAAAGAACUGAACAAAAGAGAUGAUGCACUUGUCGGAGUUGGGCUCGGUAGACGUCAGACAGAAAUAACACAGAGAGAACGAGGGAUAGGCGGGGUGAACUGCUGAAGUCGCUGAACUCUCGUGCUCUUUUUGACACCACCACCUCCUGCCCAAGGCUCCUCAAACAAAGAGAUCCUCUCUACAAGAAAUGAGGAACACUUUGAAGCUUCUCUUUGUGAUGAUCUUCCUCUGCUGGCAGAUGUUGUGUUUUGAAGGAGAGGCCGCUGGCAUUCCUACACUGGAAGAAGAGUCUUCCCAGCCAGAAGACCUGCCCUUGAAGAAUGAAGCCCCACCAAGGAGAGCCGUCCAACACUUUGCUGAUUUGAUGAAGAGGGUAAAACUCCACCAGUUCUAUGGCCUGAUGGGGAAACGAGCCAGAGCAUGACAGAGAACUGGGCAAGCAGCCAGCUCCUUCACGCAUCAGUAUCUUAGAGGGAUUCAUCAUUCUAUACCACUUCUGCUGCUGCUUUACAGCCCCAGCGCAUCUUCUGCUGCCUGAUUCUUCCCGCCAGCUCUUCCCCACAAAGGACAAAUGCGUUGAGUGUUUUACAACCCCACUCCUUGUUUUCUGUUGUUAGGCACUUGCCUAAAAUAAAUGUGUUUGCCAAGCUACGGCCUAUAUGCUU
rnacentral:lncRNA from 1 species